AUUGAACGCUGGCGGCAGGCCUAACACAUGCAAGUCGAACGAGUGGCGGACGGGUGAGUAAUGUCUGGGAAACUGCCUGAUGGAGGGGGAUAACUACUGGAAACGGUAGCUAAUACCGCAUACCAUUGGAUGUGCCCAGAUGGGAUUAGCUAGUAGGUGGGUUAACGGCUCACCUAGGCGACGCUCCCUAGCUGGACUGAGAGGAUGACCAGCCACACUGGAACUGAGAUGCGGUCCAGACACCUACGAGGGGCAGCAGUGGGGAAUGUUGCACAAUGGGCGCAAGCCGGAUGCAGCAAUGCCGCGUGUAUGAAGAAGGCCUUCGGGGUGUAAAGUACUUUCAGCGGAGAGGCGUUACCCGCAGAAGAAGCACCGGCUAACUCCGUGCCAGCAGCCGCGGUAAUUC
rnacentral:rRNA from 1 species